GUGAAUGUGGCUUAGUGGUAGAGUGCUUGCUUAGCAUGCAUGAAGCCCUGGGUUCAAUUCCUCAGUACCACA
rnacentral:tRNA from 1 species